rnacentral:rRNA from 1 species
AUGGGGUUCGGCGUGGUGUCCCUGCUCAACGCGGUGUUCCGCCGGGCCUUCACCUCGGCCGGCCUCCGUCCCAGCUCCGUCGCCGUCGAUGCCGACACCACGCUCCACUUCUGGGCGCACCCCUCCCUCCUCUCCUCCCCCGACGCCGAGUCCAAGCAGCGGGGGCGGCGGCCGGUGGUGGUGCUGAUCCACGGCUUCGGCCCGGACCCGACGUGGCAGUGGGCGUCGCAGGUGGGCCCGCUGUCCAAGCACUUCGACCUCAUCGUGCCCACGCUGCUCUUCUUCGGCGCCUCCACCACGCGGGCCCCGGGCCGCUCCGACGCGUUCCAGGCCGCCGCCAUCGCCAAGCUCCUCGCCAGCGACCACCUCGCCGCCGGGGAUGGGCGGGUGGUGCACGUGGUGGGCACCAGCUACGGCGGGCUGGUGGCGUACCACCUGGCGCGGGCGCUGCAGCAGGGAGGCGGAGCGUGGACGGUGGGGAAGGUGGCGGUCUGCAGCUCGGACCUGGCCAAGGGCCCCGAGGACGACCGGGCGCUGGCGGCCAAGGGCGGCGUGGCGGACGUGACGGAGCUGAUGGUGCCGGCGGACACCAAGGCGCUGCGGCGGCUGAUGGACAUCUGCGCGCACGGCCCGCCCAAGUACCUCCCCGAGUGCCUCGCCCGCGACCUCCUCCGGAAGUGCUUCGCUGUCCAGAGAGAGGGGAAGAUCGAGCUGAUCAAGGGGAUCGCCUCCGGGCACGGCUUCCAGAUCACUCCUCUCCCUCAGGAAGUGUUGAUCGUGUGGGGCGAGUUCGACCAGAUCUUCCCGGUGGCCAAGGCGCACAAGGUGAAGGAGAAGCUCGGGGAGAAGGCGACGGUGAGGAUCAUCCCCAACACGGGCCACCUGCCGCAGCAGGAGGACUCCAAGCUCUUCAACCAGAUCCUCCUCGACUUCCUGCUGCCUCCGCCUUCCUCCUCCAAUGGCGCCGUCGCCGCCGCCAAGUAG